CUGGCGGCGUGCCUAAUACAUGCAAGUCGAGCGAACGGACGAGAAGCUUGCUUCUCUGAUGUUAGCGGCGGACGGGUGAGUAACACGUGGAUAACCUACCUAUAAGACUGGGAUAACUUCGGGAAACCGGAGCUAAUACCGGAUAAUAUUUUGAACCGCAUGGUUCAAAAGUGAAAGACGGUCUUGCUGUCACUUAUAGAUGGAUCCGCGCUGCAUUAGCUAGUUGGUAAGGUAACGGCUUACCAAGGCAACGAUGCAUAGCCGACCUGAGAGGGUGAUCGGCCACACUGGAACUGAGACACGGUCCAGACUCCUACGGGAGGCAGCAGUAGGGAAUCUUCCGCAAUGGGCGAAAGCCUGACGGAGCAACGCCGCGUGAGUGAUGAAGGUCUUCGGAUCGUAAAACUCUGUUAUUAGGGAAGAACAUAUGUGUAAGUAACUGUGCACAUCUUGACGGUACCUAAUCAGAAAGCCACGGCUAACUACGUGCCAGCAGCCGCGGUAAUACGUAGGUGGCAAGCGUUAUCCGGAAUUAUUGGGCGUAAAGCGCGCGUAGGCGGUUUUUUAAGUCUGAUGUGAAAGCCCACGGCUCAACCGUGGAGGGUCAUUGGAAACUGGAAAACUUGAGUGCAGAAGAGGAAAGUGGAAUUCCAUGUGUAGCGGUGAAAUGCGCAGAGAUAUGGAGGAACACCAGUGGCGAAGGCGACUUUCUGGUCUGUAACUGACGCUGAUGUGCGAAAGCGUGGGGAUCAAACAGGAUUAGAUACCCUGGUAGUCCACGCCGUAAACGAUGAGUGCUAAGUGUUAGGGGGUUUCCGCCCCUUAGUGCUGCAGCUAACGCAUUAAGCACUCCGCCUGGGGAGUACGACCGCAAGGUUGAAACUCAAAGGAAUUGACGGGGACCCGCACAAGCGGUGGAGCAUGUGGUUUAAUUCGAAGCAACGCGAAGAACCUUACCAAAUCUUGACAUCCUUUGACAACUCUAGAGAUAGAGCUUUCCCCUUCGGGGGACAAAGUGACAGGUGGUGCAUGGUUGUCGUCAGCUCGUGUCGUGAGAUGUUGGGUUAAGUCCCGCAACGAGCGCAACCCUUAAGCUUAGUUGCCAUCAUUAAGUUGGGCACUCUAAGUUGACUGCCGGUGACAAACCGGAGGAAGGUGGGGAUGACGUCAAAUCAUCAUGCCCCUUAUGAUUUGGGCUACACACGUGCUACAAUGGACAAUACAAAGGGCAGCGAAACCGUGAGGUCAAGCAAAUCCCAUAAAGUUGUUCUCAGUUCGGAUUGUAGUCUGCAACUCGACUACAUGAAGCUGGAAUCGCUAGUAAUCGUAGAUCAGCAUGCUACGGUGAAUACGUUCCCGGGUCU
rnacentral:rRNA from 1 species